UUAUGCAUGCAGUCGAGCGAAGCUUUUCAGUAGUUUACUACAGAAAAUGACUGAGCGGCGAACGGGUGAGUAACGCGUGAGCAAUCUACCUUAGUUACAGGGAUAGCCCGAGGAAACUCGGAUUAAUACCUGAUAUUCCUUAUAUUUCGCAUGAAAUUAAAAGGAAAGGUCAGCCGAACUAAGAUGAGCUCGCGUUCUAUCAGCUAGUUGGUGAGGUAAAAGCUCACCAAGGCUACGACGGAUAGCUGGUCUGAGAGGACGAUCAGCCACACUGGGACUGAGACACGGCCCAGACUCCUACGGGAGGCUGCAGCAGGGAAUAUUGCGCAAUGAGCGAAAGCUUGACGCAGCGACACCGCGUGUGGGAUGACGGAUCUAGGUUUGUAAACCACUUUCAGGAGGGAAGAAAAUGACGGUACCUCCACAAGAAGCACC
rnacentral:rRNA from 1 species